rnacentral:ncRNA from 1 species
UGCAUUUAUCAGACCAAAAACCCGGCCGCGUCUUCGGGCGCGUUCGCCUUGGUGACUCUGGAUAACUUUGCGGAUCGCACGGUCUAGCACCGGCGACGGAUCAUUCAAGUGUCUGCCCUAUCAACUUUCGUCGGUACGGUAUUUGCCUACCGAGGUUCUUACGGGUGACGGGGAAUCAGGGUUCGAUUCCGGAGAGGGAGCCUGAGAAACGGCUACCACAUCCAAGGAAGGCAGCAGGCGCGCAAAUUACCCAUUCCCGACGCGGGGAGGUAGUGACGAAAAAUAACAAUGCAGGACUCGUUCGAGGCCCUGUAAUUGGAAUGAGUACACUUUAAAAGCUUUAACGAGUAUCCAUUGGAGGGCAAGUCUGGUGCCAGCAGCCGCGGUAAUUCCAGCUCCAAAAGUAUAUAUUUAAGUUGUUGCGGUUAAAAAGCUCGUAGUUGGAUUUUGGGCGCAGGCGGCCGGUCCGUCGCAAGGCGUGUACUGGACGUCCUGGCCUUCCCUCCGGUUCUCCGCCGGUGCUCUUGACUGAGUGUCGGCGGCGGCCGGAACGUUUACUUUGAAAAAAUUAGAGUGUUCAAAGCAGGCUCUCGAGCCUGGAUAAUGGUGCAUGGAAUAGUGGAAUAGGACCUCGGUUCUAUUUUGUUGGUUUUCGGAGCGCGAGGUAAUGAUUAAGAGGGACAGACGGGGGCAUUCGUACUGUGCCGUUAGAGGUGAAAUUCUUGGAUCGGCGCAAGACGAACGACUGCGAAAGCAUUUGCCAAGAAUGUUUUCUUUAAUCAAGAGCGAAAGUCGGAGGUUCGAAGACGAUCAGAUACCCGUCCUAGUUCUGACUAUAAAC